rnacentral:rRNA from 1 species
AUUGAACGCUGGCGGCAGGACUAACACAUGCAAGUAGAACGAGUGGCGGACGGGUGAGUAAUGUCUGGGAAACGGCCUGAUGGAGGGGGAUAAAUACUGGAAACGGUAGCUAAUACCGCAUACCCUCGGAUGUGCCCAGAUGGGAUGUGCUCGUAUGUGGGGUAAAGGCUCACCUAGGCGACGAUCCCUAGCUGGUCUGGACGGAUGACCAGCCACACUGGAACUGAGACACGGUCCAGACUCCUACGGGAGGCAGCAUGGGGUAAUGUUGCACAAUGGGCGCAAGCCUGAUCCAGCCAUGCCGCGUGUAUGACGAAGUCCUUCGGUUUGUAAAGUACUUUCAGCGGGGCGGCGUUACCCGCAGAAGAAGCACCGGCUAACUCCGUGCCAGCAGCCGCGGUAAUAC